UACGGAGGGUGCAAGCGUUAUCCGGAUUCACUGGGCUUAAAGGGUGCGUAGGCGGGCAGGUAAGUCAGUGGUGAAAUCUCCGAGCUUAACUUGGAAACUGCCGUUGAUACUAUCUGUCUUGAAUAUUGUGGAGGUGAGCGGAAUAUGUCAUGUAGCGGUGAAAUGCUUAGAUAUGACAUAGAACACCAAUUGCGAAGGCAGCUCGCUACACAUAUAUUGACGCUGAGGCACGAAAGCGUGGGGAUCAAACAGG
rnacentral:rRNA from 1 species